UGGGAGCUGUUUCUGUCCUGAUUGUGUGUGCAGCAGCUCUGUGGCUGAAUGGAUUCUGCUUACCAAUUAAUCAAAAUGGAGGACCUAAGCAGCAGCACAACUUGAUGUCUGAAAAUGACCCUACUUUAAGAAGGGUAAUAGUCUUUCUCCAGUCACUGGAUUCCAGGUUGAAACAAAAAGUUAAAGAAGGUAAACCAUGUUGCAGUUUAGAACAGAUGUCCUGGGUUUGCAGAUUCUACAAUCAUUUUUGGACAUGAAAAAGGUAGCCUCAAGAUGCAGCUCAAUUCAUGUGUCUAAAGUACAACUGGAGACAAAUGAAGUGGAAAUGAUGUGACGCAAUUGGUCUGACUGAAAUCCACAUGGAGUCUUCACAACACAGAGAAUAUCUCACACUGUUUAGGAUAAAAUGAUUUGCUCCGAGGACGGUUGUUCAGUUGGAGGUCACAGGUUCAUAAUGAGGCAUGAAACCAGUUUGGGAAUCAUUUUCAUGGAGUGACAGUUACUGUGACAGUGGGGUAAUGGAUUAUGACUGGUCCUUCAGACAUGCUCAGACUGACGUGUGACGGGGGACAACGUGGCUCGGGGUUUAAUGAGACACAAAGAGUAAACCUGCUGCAGUGUGAAAAGAGAAUGAUGAAAAAUACCAGAGCAGAUCCAUCUGAAAUGCUGUCAAUGUUCCCUACAUUUCCUUUACGUAUGCAUCCAGGUCUGAGGUUUUGUUGAGCUGGAAGCUGUCUCUUCCAGAAGAGAUGUCUCCUGGACCACCUUCUUUUAAAGUCUGAACUUUGAGCUUUGGUCAGACUCAGAACAAACACUCCAGGUGGGUCUGCUGUGAAACAAAUCAAGAUAUGGAGAAGGACCUCAUGCCUACUGUUAAAUACAGUGGAGGAUCUGUGAUGCUGUGGGCCUGCUUCUCUUCCAAAUGCCCUGGGAAACAUGUUAGAAUGCAUGGCAGCUUGACUUCUUUUAAAUCACCAGGUCAUUUUUAAUUAAAAGCUGUUGUCCUCUGACAGAGAACUGAAAGGACAAACAUCCAUAACAUGUAGAUAAAUCAAAGUUCUUCUGAGUAGAGCAGGGGUCUCUAACUUCAGCUACUGUCCAGCAACUUUGAAUGGAUUUCUACUCACACCUGAAUCAAAUGGCGGAUUUACCUCUCAGCAUGCCUUCACGUUCUGGAGAAGCCCAGUAACGAAACAUUUAUUUGAUUUGGGUGUUCUGGAACUGGGAUCCGUUUGAGAAUUUCUGGAUUUGGACAAGGGCUCUCGAGGACUGGGGUUGGAGGCCCCUGGUAUACAGUAUUCAUCUACAGGCAUUAGUGGAAUAAAUACCCUCUAUUGCUGAAA